rnacentral:rRNA from 1 species
UUGGGUUAAGUCCCGCAACGACGCGCAACCCUUGUCCUUAGUUGCCAGCAUUCAGUUGGGCACUCUAAGGAGACUGCCGGUGUCAAACCGGGAGGAAGUGGGGAUGACGUCAAGUCCUCAUGGCCCUUAUGUCCAGGGCUACACACGUGCUACAAUGGCCGGUACAAAGGGCGCAAGACCGCGAGGUGGAAGCAAAUCCCAAAAAACCGGUCUCAGUUCGGAUUGGAGUCUGCAACUCGACUCCAUGAAGUUGGAAUCGCUAGUAAUCGCGUAUCAGCAUGACGCGGUGAAUACGUUCCCGGGCCUU